AGAUUAAACAUAAGAGUUUGAUCCUGGCUCAGAUUGAACGCUGGCGGCAUGCUUUACACAUGCAAGUCGAACGGCAGCACGGAGAGCUUGCUCUCUGGUGGCGAGUGGCGAACGGGUGAGUAAUGCAUCGGAACGUACCGAGUAAUGGGGGAUAACUGUCCGAAAGGAUGGCUAAUACCGCAUACGCCCUGAGGGGGAAAGCGGGGGAUCUUAGGACCUCGCGUUAUUUGAGCGGCCGAUGUUGGAUUAGCUAGUUGGUGGGGUAAAGGCCUACCAAGGCGACGAUCCAUAGCGGGUCUGAGAGGAUGAUCCGCCACAUUGGGACUGAGACACGGCCCAAACUCCUACGGGAGGCAGCAGUGGGGAAUUUUGGACAAUGGGGGGAACCCUGAUCCAGCCAUGCCGCGUGUCUGAAGAAGGCCUUCGGGUUGUAAAGGACUUUUGUUAGGGAAGAAAAGCUGGGUGCUAAUACCAUCUAGUGCUGACGGUACCU
rnacentral:rRNA from 1 species